rnacentral:rRNA from 1 species
AAUUCGAUUAGUUUGAUCCUGGCUCAGGACGAACGCUGGCGGCGUGCUUAACACAUGCAAGUCGAGCGGUAAGGCUCCUUCGGGAGUACACGAGCGGCGAACGGGUGAGUAACACGUGAGCAAUCUGCCCUCCACACUGGGAUACCCCCCGGAAACGGGUGCUAAUACCAGAUACAACCACUUCAGGCAUCUGAUGGUGGUGGAAAGUUCUGGCGGUGAAGGAUGAGCUCGCGGCCUAUCAGCUUGUUGGUGAGGUAAUGGCCCACCAAGGCUUCGACGGGUAGCCGGCCUGAGAGGGUGACCGGCCACACUGGGACUGCGACACGGCCCAGACUCCUACGGGAGGCAGCAGUGGGGAAUAUUGGACAAUGGGCGAAAGCCUGAUCCAGCAACGCCGCGUGAGGGAUGACGGCCUUCGGGUUGUAAACCUCUUUCAGCAGGGACGAAGCGAAAGUGACGGUACCUGCAGAAGAAGCACCGGCCAACUACGUGCCAGCAGCCGCGGUAAUACGUAGGGUGCGAGCGUUGUCCGGAAUUAUUGGGCGUAAAGGGCUCGUAGGCGGUUUGUCACGUCGGGAGUGAAAACUCAGGGCUUAACCCUGAGCCUGCUUCCGAUACGGGCAGACUAGAGGUAUGCAGGGGAGAACGGAAUUCCUGGUGUAGCAGUGAAAUGCGCAGAUAUCAGGAGGAACACCGGUGGCGAAGGCGGUUCUCUGGGCAUUACCUGACGCUGAGGAGCGAAAGUGUGGGGAGCGAACAGGAUUAGAUACCCUGGUAGUCCACACCGUAAACGUUGGGCGCUAGGUGUGG